GAUCGAUUUGCUCUAGUAUCUUCUCCUUUCAUAUCAUUUCACCUCCACCAUGGACGAAAAAGAAGCGCCACCUCAACCACCGCCGACCGCCUUUGCUCACCACCACUUCUCUCCUUCAACUACAUGCAUAAACUGCGGCGGGCCCACCGCCUACCCUACGCCACCGCCGCCUUCCUCCAACCUAACCUAUAUCCCCAUCCGCUUCCCGGCCGUCAAUCUUCCUACGAAUCCAACCAACACCAAAGAAGCCAUUAUGCGAACUCCGGUGCCACAGUCCCAAAAAGUGGUCCCGCUUCAACCACCUUACAGCUUCCAAACCCCAGUCAAGAUAAUCUCCAGCCAGAACGACAUCGUCCGGCUCCACUCCUCUCCUACUUUCGCCAACUUCCUCGGCUUCGUCGUUUCCCUUUCCGAAUCCAUCAAAUCUCACAAGCUCUCUGAUCCCUGCCACGUGUCUCCCGCCGUCUGCACGAUCGUUGAUGUGAUCGAGAAGCUAAUCGCGUUCGUCGAUGAAAUUCCUCCGGCACCCCAGUCUGCUCGCUACGGCAACGUGGCGUACCGGACGUGGCACGAUCGCAUGAGCUCUGAUGCUGAGUCGUUUAUGCUGCUGUUGCUUUCUCCCGAUCUUCGUGACGCGGCUGUUGAAUUAGUGCCCUAUUUUACCGACAGCUUCGGCAAUUCAAGCCGCAUUGAUUACGGUACUGGUCAUGAAACAAACUUUGCAGCAUGGUUGUACUGCUUAGCGAGAUUGCAAAUAGUUAAGGAAGAAGAUUAUCAAGCACUAGUUUCCCGGGUUUUUGUGAAGUACUUGGAGUUGAUGCGGAAGUUGCAGUUGACUUAUUCUCUCGAGCCUGCAGGAUCCCAUGGAGUAUGGGGGCUUGAUGACUAUCACUUUUUACCUUUCAUAUUUGGGUCUUCACAGUUGAUUGACCACAAGUAUAUGAAGCCGAAAUCAAUUCAUAAUGAGGAUAUAUUAGAGAAUUUCGCAAGUGAAUAUUUGUACCUUUCAUGUAUUGUAUUUAUAAAGAAGGUUAAAAAGGGAUUAUUUGCUGAGCAUUCACCAAUGCUGGAUGAUAUUAGUGGUGUGCCAAAUUGGAAGAAGGUUAAUAGUGGGCUCUUAAAGAUGUAUAAAGUGGAAGUUUUGCAGAAGGUUCCUAUCAUGCAACAUUUUCUCUUUGGCUCCAUUAUCAAAUGGAAAUGAGAGUUGGCAUGAGAAGUCCUGGAAAAAAUUUUUUGGUUGUGGAAAGCCAAUAAAAAUCAAAGAUGAGUUUUCUUCAACCCAAGGGAAUGAGCCUGAGGCCUUUAACCUACAAACAGGAUGGGAAUGAAAUUGGUGUAGUUGGAGUUCCAGGAUAAUUGAUGUAGUAGUACUUGUAUCCGCCACAAAUUUUUAUCGAGAUAACAUGUGUAAUGAUAUUGUAUCAGUAAAUGGUUAAAUAGAAUUUCAUCCGUUGCAUUACAGAAAGUUGAUGUUAUCUUUUCCUCAAUAAUAUGAUUAUUCCGAAUUAGAUCUA